rnacentral:tRNA from 1 species
GGUCCCUUCGUCUAGUGGUUAGGACAUCAGGUUCUCAUCCUGGUAACAGGGGUUCGAUUCCCCUAGGGACUA